rnacentral:rRNA from 1 species
UACGUAGGUGGCAAGCGUUGUCCGGAUUUACUGGGCGUAAAGGGCGUGCAGGCGGUUUGUUAAGUCUAGGGUGAAAGCUCCCGGCUCAACUGGGAGAGGUCCUUGGAUACUGGCAGACUUGAGGAGGGUAGAGGAGAGUGGAAUUCCCGGUGUAGUGGUGAUAUGCGUAGAUAUCGGGAGGAACACCUGCGGCGAAGGCGGGUUGCUGGGCUGACACUGACGCUGAUGUGCGAAAGCUAGGGGAGCGAACGGG